GUGGUUGCGGCCCUUAAAAAAAAAAAAAAAAGUGAUUUAUUGCCUUUUAAAACAAUUUUUUAAAAAUCUUACCUAGUAAUUCCUUCUUCCCUGGGUCCCAAACACUCAAUUUAGCCUUUUAAGGGACAUAUAAGACAUACUAAAGGUAGGAGGAAGUUAAAUGGAUAUUUGAUUCAGAUACUAAUUUAAUGUUUAUUUUUUUCACAUUCUUCCCAGACGUUGUGUAGUCUUACCUGUGCCUGUGCUGUUGAUUCAGCUCUGAGCAUGGGAGCUGCGGGCUGGAUAUUUGUCACUUUCUGUGAAUAGCCUCUUUCCCCAGCAGGACUGUCACAGCUGCAUCACAGAAGCCAUGUGCCCUAGGCAGGGGCUCACUACAUGUUUGGCAAGGAUGACAAUGAUAAUACAAAGUGCUUGGGGCAGUGCUGACAGCCCAGCAUAAAUGAAGCUAAUGCCGCGCCCACCUCCUCCUUGCACCCGCGCUCCGGGCUCCCUGCUGGUCAGGCGAGAUCCCCUGGAGCGAUGCCCUUGGUGAGUGUCCUCCCCGGCUGCUGGCUGCGCACAUCGCCCCUGAGCCCUGAAACCUACACCCCAGGAACUGAAGAGACUGCCGAGGGUCGUCGUGUUCCCAGCACACAACAGUCUCUGGGGGAGCGGAGCUUUACCAGCUGACUCAUGCCACGUGGGAGAAGAAAGAAGAAGUGACACGUUGGCCGUUAUCUCAGAAACUACGGCGGAGACUCCCCCGUGGGAAGGCACAUGCGUCAUCGCCAAGAGCCUGUUUGAGCACCAGAGAAAGUUGGCCUAAUUCUGGUUAGCUCGGUGACAUCAAGACCUGCGUGUUCCCUAGGAAGCACGACGGGAGAAAGUAAAAGAAAGGAACUUCUUACAGAAUGGCCUUCCUCUCUGUAAAGAGGACUCAUUCUUCCACUCGAUACUCUGGGGGCGAAGAUUCCUGUGAUUAAAAACUCUGAGGUCAGAGCCACAGAAGCCAGGGCCUCAAAAGCCAGAGCCUCCCUUCCAUCAGCCCAGUUGAGAGCUGGCCCAGACCCACGAGGCCAUCAGUCCGUCUUGUACCCCAGCACCACGGACGGCCCUUGAUCGACUAGUUCAGUGAUGGAGAACCCCCCGCUGUGGACAGCUGUCUAUUUGACUUUCCAUCACUCACGAGUUGGUCCUUCUGGAACUUCGUCCGUGACAAGCAAGAGAAGGGCGUUUCUAAGGAACGGGAAAUCCGUUUGACCAAAGUUCCCCCAUUUUAUUCUCUUUUAUUCUCACGUUUGUGCGUGAAGGCUCCAGGUGACUCCAAGAUGCGUCCUGGUAUCUUUCUGACCGUGAGAUAAGAAGCUGGGACGUUAAUGCCUGAACAUCUGGGAUUGUGAGUACACCAAAGGCAGGGCCAGCUGCAAGCGUCCCUGUGAAAGUGAAAACAGCACUUUCGGAAAAAACAAGAGCUCUGGGUCCAAACGUCUGGAUGUUGGUCCCUGGUGUCCACUUUAUGACUGUGUUUUCAGGUACAUGAUUAACCUCUGUGUCUUGCAUUCUUUCUCCCAGAGCUCUUUAUUCUGAUUAUUAAAUAAUAUAGGUGAACAUCCUUUCCAAGCUCCAAAGCCCUCCUCGAAAUGCUGACUCUUACUGAUGUUGAUGAUCAACCGGAAGCUUGAAGAAAGGGAGACCAUCCCUGUCUUACCAGUAGCAGAGGGAACUUGUCCCGGAGAGACGAGGCCCUGGGGGCUCCAGAAACUUCCUUUGCUAGAUGGUGUUGGCUCUAUCUCCACGCUUGAAAAGAGGGAGCUUCUUCUAUCUCUAUCCCAGGUCUGCAGAAUUGCCGGUGUGCUGAUGAGACAGGACAGUCUAAGCCAGUGUGGGCCAGCUUGGCCUCUUUCCAUGAAGGGCUUGUCAUGCUCUGGUGCUUAAUUGCACCUGCUAAUGGACUCCCUGGAGAGUGACCAACAGCUUCACUGGAGGAGGGAGCAAGGGGCCGGCAGCAGCAGGCAGGCAGGUCAGGUCUGCCCGUUGGCAGGACUGUGCAGUCCCAGGCCAUUUCCCACUGGAACACCCUCUCAUCCCCCGGAAGCCCCUGACUCUCCAGCUUGCAGGAGCAGUGAAGGGGGAUGCUGGGCAGCAGGAAGCUCACUUAGCAGCCUGAAUUUAGAAGUAGAAGCCAACGGGCCAAGGCAGCCACAGCCCUGAGAAGGAAGUGGCAGCUGCGAAGCGGCCAAACCCAGAGUGGUACCCAGUCCUUCUGGUUCUAAGUCCCCAAGUUCUUCCCAUGGCAUCAGGGACCUCUACCUCUUCUCGAGAGGACACAUCUUAGAGCUUCACGUGGCACCUUCCCUCUUCCCCGACUCUGAGCGCUGUGAUGUCUCACCCAGGCUGAAGCAUGAUCACAUCACAAUGUAAGGCGCAAGAACACAAACCCUAAAACUAAAGUAAACGGACAGGUUGCAUAUCAUCAGCAGAAUACGGUAACUAAAGUUCCGCGUGUCUAGUGGAAUGGAAGAGGAGGUUUUGCAGAAAGUCGAUUGCUCUGGUGGGAUGACAGCCAUGGUUAAGGUUUUUUGGCACCUGUUGCCUUAAACUGCACACCAGCUGCUCUGUUGGAAUAACUGCAAACCCUUGGUGUGAUGGUAUCACAUGGCCUUCACCCAGAACGAACACCUUGUUUCCAUACUGCCUCUGCCUCCCUUCUUUGCUAGUUCGUUUAUGCCAAUUCAAGUGCAGCCGGGCAUUCCUAAGUGUCAAGGGAAGCCUCUAAGGGCAGGCCCCAGUUAUACGUGUCAUCAGGAGAUUCGGAAUAAGCUUAUACUUUAAACAAAAACAAUCUGGGGAAAAGCUCUCCAUGCAAAGCUUGUGGAUCCCCUAGAAUAGUCCACUGGUGGCCCUUUGGUCUGGGGCUUUGAGGAAGGAAAAACAAGCCCCCGGUGAGAGGGGCAGAUGGGGACUUUGCUCCACACUGCCCCCUCGUGGUGGGCUCUUCUCUACGCCUUGCCUAGCAUCUUCACCUGCCCAGUCUAUUUCUAGAGAGGAGGGUCCCUACCUGAAACGGAAAAGGAGAGAAAGGACAAUGACAGGGGAUGCUAGCAUGUUGGCUGAAUUGAGGGUCCUAGGCCACAGAAUAGGCAUGAGGACUGGGAUAACCUAGGUCAUGGUUAAGUCUGAGCUCUUUCUCGCCCAGGACCCCUCCUUCCUUGCUUCCCACAGCCACUGCUAAGGGUAGCAUGGUGCUGGUUGAAAAGUGGCACCAUGUCUGUUCUUGAGGAAGAGUCUGAGACCCUGGGAGGGGGAUGUGGUACCCCCUGGAGAAGGAGAUGGGAUGGAAGGGAAGUGACUCCAGAGGCAGAAACAGCAAGUGGUGCCAGCCUAGCAGCGGGGAGGGUGGCCUCCUGGCUUGCUCUGGCUCCUCUUGGGCCCCACUAGCCUACACCUCCCAGCUCUCUGGAGCAGGGUUUGGACCACGAGGCCAUCUGGAGCGCUCCGGGCUCUCCAGCCCUGUGUCUGUCCAUGUUAAAGCGUUGGCACCUGUCCGCUUCACUAUCCUGUCUCCUCUCGAGAGGUCAGGGUGCUCCCCAUUUGUGCAGCCCCAGCGAAAAUGCCCUGGAAUCACACAGACCAACACUCAGAUCCCAGUUCUGUCAUUUACCGAUCGAGCCAAACUUCUCAAGGCCCAUGAGCCUCAGUUCUCUCACCUGUCAAAUGGGAAUGAUGGUGCCAUUCGCUCAGUCCUGUAUGAGAACUUAACAGGAUAAUGUCUCUUGGACUCACAGCUCCGUGCCUGGCACAUGUGAUGCUUGGUGACUUAAGGCCCCUAUACCCUCCCAGCUGUGAGAUGAAUACUUUUGAAGCCCUCAUGGAUGUUUAGAAGCUCUGACUCCAGCGCUAAGCCCUUGUAGCCUUGGCCACACUGGUGGCUCCAUGACCUGACCACUGUGGUCAUCCACUGGCUGUACCAUUGGGGUCACUGAAGAUGCUGUCACUCAUCCCCAAACAAGGACAAGCCUGGGUUUUGUACCAUGAUUUUCAUUGUUCUCCCCAAAGGACGUUCCCACGCCAUGAGUUUCUUGUGCAAGCAUCCUUUUUGGCCCCUCCUGGGUAUGUGUUGUGCUCUGGCCUGGAGUUGUGGUGAAGCCAAAAGCUAUUCUGAGAUUUUCUGUAGUCUCAACAGCUAUUUCAGGCUGCAGCUUGGAUAUGGGGAGAGAACCCAGCACUCUCUUUCUGUGUCUUGGCCACAAAUUCCAAGACUGGUCCUUUUGUGUUCCCGACACCCUCAGACCUGGACGUGGUGACUGGAACCGGCUUGGAUGGAGCAAGGUUGUGUGUGCAUGUGCCACCCAGCCUGCAGCCGGAGGGAGAGGGUUCUGGAAGGGUUAGAUCUGGGGGUUGAGACUGAGUGGAGGAGAGGCAGCCAGGGUGACAUUCCUGCCCAAGAACUGCAGGCUUCUGGAGGGGAGGGAGCCCGCUGUGAGGGGCAGCGGCAUCCAGUCCUGUUCCUCUGACUUCUCAGUUUGUCUGCCUCCUCCUGGGUGAGCAUUGGUCUAUCUGUGUCAUCAAUAUUACUGUGUGUCUGCUAUAGGCCAGGCCAGACUCCUGAGGUGCAGUCAUGGAUGAAACAGACAAGAUCUUUGCUUUCGUGGAGCUCCCGUGUAACAGGAACUAUAAUAACUCAUUUGCGUUGGCCUUUAUGGUUUGCAAAGCACUUUUCUAUACCUUCAUAGAAAAUUCUAUUGAGGAGUUCCCUGGUGGCCUAGCAGUUAAGGACCUGAUGCUGCUGCCACCAUGGCUCGGGUCAGUUGAUCCCUGGACGGGGAACUUUUGCAUGCUGUGGGUACAGCAGAAAAAAAAAAAAAAAGGAAAAUUCUAUUGCAUGCUCUGUGCUAA